rnacentral:rRNA from 1 species
UCCUGACCGGUAGUCGUAUGCUCGUCUCCGAGACUAAGCCAUGCAAGUCCAAGUACACGGUCCUUGAACGACGGAAACUGCGAACGGCUCAUUAAAUCAGUUGCGAUCUACUCGGCGUUCCGCGCCGCCGGAUAACCGUAGUAAUUCUAGGGCUAAUACGUGCGAAGCGCCCGAAGCCGCGAGGCGACGGGCGUUCUCGCCGGAUGUAGGAACCGACCCGGGGACCGCCGGGGCAACCCGGCGCCCCCGAGACGGGGCGAACCACGGUGAAAUGACGGAUCGUCGGCCCCGCGCCGGCGACUCGCCGAAUGAGUUUCUGACCUAUCAACUCGAGACGGCGGGGUAGAGGCCCGCCGCGGUAACGACGGGUAACGGGGAAUCAGGGUUCGAUUCCGGAGAGGGGAGCCCCGAGAAACGGCUACCACUUCCAAGG